UUGACAUUCCGCGCUACCCAGAGAGAUUUUGGGGUUUCCUUCGGGGACGCGGUGACAGGUGCUGCAUGGCUGUCGUCAGCUCGUGUCGUGAGAUGUUGGUUUAAGUCCCGCAACGAGCGCAACCCUCGUCCUUAGUUGCCAUCAUUCAGUUGGGCACUCUAAAGGAAACCGCCGGUGAUAAGCCGGAGGAAGGUGGGGAUGACGUCAAGUCCUCAUGGCCCUUACACGCUGGGCUACACACGUGCUACAAUGGCGGUGACAGUGGGCAGCAAACUCGCGAGGGUGAGCUAAUCUCCAAAAGCCGUCUCAGUUCGGAUUGUUCUCUGCAACUCGAGAGCAUGAAGGCGGAAUCGCUAGUAAUCGCGGAUCAGCAUGCCGCGGUGAAUACGUUCCCAGGCCUUGUACACACCGCCCGUCACACCAUGGGAGUUGGUUUCACCCGAAGGCAGUGCGCUAACCGCAAGGGGGCAGCUGACCACGGUGGGAUCAGCGACUGGGGUGAAGUCGUAACAAGGUAACC
rnacentral:rRNA from 1 species